rnacentral:rRNA from 1 species
AUGUUCACCUUCAUACUAUGUUCCGAUGCAUCUUGUUAUUUUGUACUAUUCUCGUAUUUUUAUCACAUGUUAUGCUCGAUAGUAGUAGUCCAUGCUGGUAGCAGUGGUGUUCUUUUUGGUGCAUGUUUACCGUCUGUUAUCAAGCACCGUUGCAAUGCAUGUUACUUUGUAUCCAGUUGGUUAUAUGCUUACUUGGUAGAAUUCUGGUUAAGUUCUUACGUGGUAUCUAUUUAUGAUGCUAGUGGUCAGGCUAUGCUCAUGUGUAGUGCUAUGAUCAUGAUCGUCAGUAUGCCAUGCUUAGUUGGAUAUAUGUUUCAUUGUUGUUAUGCUUGA